GCUUACGGCCACACCUCCCUGAGCACGCACGAUCUCGUCUGAUCUCGGAAGCUAGCAGGGUCGGGCCCAGGUUAGUACUUGGAUGGGGAGACAGCCUGGAAUACCAGGUGCUGUAAGCC
rnacentral:rRNA from 1 species